CCUCGAAUAGCUCAGUUGGUAGAGCACGACCUUGCCAAGGUCGGGGUCGCGAGUUCGAGUCUCGUUUCCCGCUCCA
rnacentral:tRNA from 1 species